rnacentral:rRNA from 1 species
GUCUUGCCUUAGUACGGCGAGUGAGCGGCAAAAGCUCAAAUUUGAAAUCUGGUACCUUCGGUGCCCGAGUUGUAAUUUGGAGAGGGCAACUUUGGGGCCGUUCCUUGUCUAUGUUCCUUGGAACAGGACGUCAUAGAGGGUGAGAAUCCCGUGUGGCGAGGAGUGCGGUUCUUUGUAAAGUGCCUUCGAAGAGUCGAGUUGUUUGGGAAUGCAGCUCUAAGUGGGUGGUAAAUUCCAUCUAAAGCUAAAUAUUGGCGAGAGACCGAUAGCGAACAAGUACAGUGAUGGAAAGAUGAAAAGAACUUUGAAAAGAGAGUGAAAAAGUACGUGAAAUUGUUGAAAGGGAAGGGCAUUUGAUCAGACAUGGUGUUUUGUGCCCUCUGCUCCUUGUGGGUAGGGGAAUCUCGCAUUUCACUGGGCCAGCAUCAGUUUUGGUGGCAGGAUAAAUCCAUAGGAAUGUAGCUUGCCUCGGUAAGUAUUAUAGCCUGUGGGAAUACUGCCAGCUGGGACUGAGGACUGCGACGUAAGUCAAGGAUGCUGGCAUAA